rnacentral:rRNA from 1 species
UACGGAGGGGGCAAGCGUUGUUCGGAAUUAUUGGGCGUAAAGCGUAUGUAGGCGGCUAAGCAAGUCAGGCGUGCAAGCCCGUGGCUCAACCACGGAAUUGCGCUUGAAACUGCUUGGCUUGAGUACAGGAGAGGAAGGCGGAAUUCCCAGUGUAGCGGUGAAAUGCAUUGAUAUUGGGAAGAACAUCUGUGGCGAAGGCGGCUUUCUGGGCCAAUACUGACGCUGAGGUUCGAAAGCAUGGGUAGCGAACAGG